AUUCAACUGACGAGUACCAAAUAGGACUAUAUGCGCAUCUUGGAU
rfam:Schistosoma haematobium scaffold246_2, whole genome shotgun sequence.